rnacentral:rRNA from 1 species
UAGGGAAUCUUCGGCAAUGGACGGAAGUCUGACCGAGCAACGCCGCGUGAGUGAAGAAGGUUUUCGGAUCGUAAAGCUCUGUUGUAAGAGAAGAACGAGUGUGAGAGUGGAAAGUUCACACUGUGACGGUAUCUUACCAGAAAGGGACGGCUAACUACGUGCCAGCAGCCGCGGUAAUACGUAGGUCCCGAGCGUUGUCCGGAUUUAUUGGGCGUAAAGCGAGCGCAGGCGGUUAGUUAAGUCUGAAGUUAAAGGCUGUGGCUUAACCAUAGUAGGCUUUGGAAACUGUUUAACUUGAGUGCAAGAGGGGAGAGUGGAAUUCCAUGUGUAGCGGUGAAAUGCGUAGAUAUAUGGAGGAACACCGGUGGCGAAAGCGGCUCUCUGGCUUGUAACUGACGCUGAGGUUCGAAAGCGUGGGGAGCAAACAGGAUUAGAUACCCUGGUAGUCCACGCUGUAAACGAUGAGUGCUAGGUGUUAGAUCCUUUCCGGGGUUUAGUGCCGUAGCUAACGCAUUAAGCACUCCGCCUGGGGAGUACGACCGCAAGGUUG